rnacentral:rRNA from 1 species
AUUGAACGCUGGCGGCAUGCCUUACACAUGCAAGUCGAACGGCAGCACGGACUUCGGUCUGGUGGCGAGUGGCGAACGGGUGAGUAAUGUAUCGGAACGUACCUUUCAGUGGGGGAUAACGUAGCGAAAGUUACGCUAAUACCGCAUAUUCUGUGAGCAGGAAAGCAGGGGAUCGAAAGACCUUGCGCUGAUUGAGCGGCCGAUAUCAGAUUAGCUAGUUGGUGGGGUAAAGGCCUACCAAGGCGACGAUCUGUAGCGGGUCUGAGAGGAUGAUCCGCCACACUGGAGCUGAGACACGGUCCAGACUCCUACGGGAGGCAGCAGUGGGGAAUUUUGGACAAUGGGGGCAACCCUGAUCCAGCCAUGCCGCGUGAGUGAAGAAGGCCUGCGGGUUGUAAAGCUCUUUCGGCCGGGAAGAAAUCGCAUAGGCUAAUACCCUGUGUGGAUGACGGUACCGGAAUAAGAAGCACCGGCUAACUACGUG